CGAAAGCCUGACGGAGCAACGCCGCGUGAGGGAAGAAGGUCUUUGGAUUGUAAACCUCUUUUCUCAAGGAAGAAGUCAGUGACGGUACUUUAGGAAUCAGCAUCGGCUAACUCCGUGCCAGCAGCCGCGGUAAUACGUGGGAUGCAAGCGUUAUCCGGAAUUAUUGGGCGUAAAGCGUUCGUAGGCGGUUUUAUAAGUCUGCUGUCAAAGUGCGGAGCUCAACUCCGUAAGAGCAGUGGAAACUGUGAGACUUGAGUGUGGUAGGGGUAGAGGGAAUUCCCAGUGUAGCGGUGAAAUGCGUAGAUAUUGGGAAGAACACCGGUGGCGAAAGCGCUCUACUGGGCCAUAACUGACGCUGAGGGACGAAAGCUAGGGGAGCG
rnacentral:rRNA from 1 species